GUAAGAGUGUGUAGUCAGCUUUCUUUUUGCUGGGUAUGCUCGUAAAUCUGAUGUCAGAGCAGUUCCAAAGAUGGUUGGGGAGUUCUUGAAACCCUGUGAGAGAUGGUUCCAGGUUAACUGUUCUUAUCUCCCUGACUGGGGGGGGGGUCUUCCCAUUGGAGAGCAAAGAUGGGUUGGCUCACAGGUGCCAACAGGACGCAGAAGACGGCAUCUUUUGAGUCUCGGCGUGAGAAGCAGGUUGUCUCUACUGGUAUCAGGGCCAGCAAGGUGUAUGGGUUAGGAUCCACAGGGUGCAGAGCCACUGUUGUUUGAUUGACUGCCCGGAAAUCCUGCACUGGGCAAUAAUCAUCUUGUCUGCUUCUGAACUGGCAGUAAGGAAGUGUGCCAGGCAGAUUGACAGGGUCUCAGGAUUCCAUAUUUUAAGGUCUCUGGAGAUGAUGAGAUAUCUUUGAUCACCUGACAGACAAAAGCAGGCCCCAUGUCUGACCCGAUGCUGCUAGGUACCCUAAAUUAUUGAAUAAUUUUUUUUUGCUAGUGCCCUUGAUAUCUCUGCAGCCUUUUCUGUGUGGGUGGGGUAUGCUUCCAUUCAGCCUAUAAAAGUGCAGACCACCACCAGAAGGUACUGAUAAGUUUUGCUUGGUUGGAUUUUAGUGAAGUCUAUUUCCAGGUGUUGGAAUUGGUAGACUCCUUUUUUUCUGGAUGAGUAGUGGAGGCUUGGGCCCCUGUCCUGGGUUGUGUUGGCACAGUUCAGGCAAGCCUUGCUGGCCAACUGAGUUAGAGUUGCCAAUCGAGGAAUGACGAGAUGUUUUUUAACAGUCCUUGUAGGGAGGUUUUGCCCAAAUGAGUGAUGUCAUGUGCCAGCCUUACCAGGCCUGUGGCUGCUUUUUCUGAUAUCAGGAUCCUUCCUUCUAGGGUGAUGAACCAGCCUUUUGAGUUUUCUUUAGCCCCUGUUUUAUGGGCCUGUUCUCUUUCUUGUGGGCUCUGGCUUCCAUCAGUGAAGAGCUCCAGGUCAGCAUUGGGAAUAGCAGUGUCCACUAAAUUGGGCCGAGAAGAGAAGACUUCGUCUAAACCUCUUCACAAGAAUGGAGGGGUUCCCCCUCCUCUUCUGACAGUAAGAGUGAAAAGAAAACAUAUGAUCUUCAAUAAGAAUGUUAUCCUGUGA
rnacentral:lncRNA from 1 species